ACUCAGCAUUUAUAUCAGACCUGAUGGACAGGGAGGCCUGGCGUGCUGCAAUUCAUGGGGUCGCAGAGAGUCGGACACGACUGAGCAACUGAACUGAACUGAAUGGAUCAUACGCUACAUCUGCAAUGGAUUUUCAAUCGUCCACUUCGGUUGAAUGAGCCAAUGCUUCAUUUUCUUCUGUGUAUGUGAUGUAGUGUAACCUGAACCCAGCGGUAUAAUCAGCAGGUGAAGAAAUUGAGCAUUAAGAGAAUCAAUAAGUAGCCCCGCCAUCUCAAUUGUCUCUUACAGAACUUGCUUUCCUGUGUGGGAAGGGAAGCGGAGGCGUUUCAACUGUGUGACAAGUAACCCACUGAAUGGGCUGUCC
ensembl:lncRNA